GACGAACGCUGGCGGCGUGCUUAACACAUGCCAGUCGAACGAUGAAGAAAAGAAUUGAAGCUUCGGCAGAAAUUCAUUUCGGAUUAGUGGCAGACGGGUGAGUAACGCGUGAGCAACCUACCUCUUACAAAGGGAUAGCCUCGGGAAACCGGGAUUAAUACCAUAUAACAUUGCGACGAAGCAUUUCGAUGCAAUCAAAGCUACGGCGGUAAGAGAUGGGCUCGCAUCCCAUUAACCAGAUGGUGAGGUAACGGCUCACCAUAGUAACGAUGGGUAACCGGCCUGAGAGGGUGAACGGUCACACUGGAACUGAGACACGGUCCAGACUCCUACGGGAGGCAGCAGUGGGGAAUAUUGCACAAUGGAGGGAACUCUGAUGCAGCGACGCCGCGUGAGUGAUGAAGGAAUUCGUUUCGUAAAACUCUGUUCUAUGGGAAGAAAAGGACUGUACCAUAGGAGAAAGCUCCGGCUAAAUACGUG
rnacentral:rRNA from 1 species